CCCUUAGAUGUUCUGGGCAGCACGCGCGCUACAAUGGUCUUCGCAAACGGAUGCAUUCUCGAAGGAGAAUGCCAAUCUUGGAAUCUAUGACUUGGUCGGGACAGUUGCUUGCAAUUUUUCGACUCGAACCAGGAAUUCCUUGUAAUCGUGAUUCAUCACAUCACGAUGAAUACGUCCCUGCCCUUUGUACACACCGCCCGUCGCUCCUACCGAUCGAAGAGUUAGGUGAAUUGUUUUGAUCGAUAAGAUUUGACUAUGGUCAACUCUCGUUGUGAAAUUCUGUGAAUCUGACUGUUUAGAGGAAGGAAAAGUCGUAACA
rnacentral:rRNA from 1 species